rnacentral:rRNA from 1 species
GAUGAACGCUGGCGGCGUGCCUAAUACAUGCAAGUCGAGCGAACAGACGAGGAGCUUGCUCCUCUGACGUUAGCGGCGGACGGGUGCGUAACACGUGGAUAACCUACCUAUAAGGCUGGGAUAACUUCGGGAAACCGGAGCUAAUACCGGAUAAUAUAUUGAACCGCAUGGUUCAAUAGUGAAAGACGGUUUUGCUGUCACUUAUAGAUGGAUCCGCGCCGCAUUAGCUAGUUGGUAAGGUAACGGCUUACCAAGGCAACGAUGCGUAGCCGACCUGAGAGGGUGAUCGGCCACACUGGAACUGAGACACGGUCCAGACUCCUACGGGAGGCAGCAGUAGGGAAUCUUCCGCAAUGGGCGAAAGCCUGACGGAGCAACGCCGCGUGAGUGAUGAAGGUCUUCGGAUCGUAAAACUCUGUUAUUAGGGAAGAACAAAUGUGUAAGUAACUAUGCACGUCUUGACGGUACCUAAUCAGAAAGCCACGGCUAACUACGUG